rnacentral:rRNA from 1 species
GUCGAGCGGUAGAGAGGAGCUUGCUCCUCUUGAGAGCGGCGGACGGGUGAGUAAUGCCUAGGAAUCUGCCUGGUAGUGGGGGAUAACGUUCGGAAACGGACGCUAAUACCGCAUACGUCCUACGGGAGAAAGCAGGGGACCUUCGGGCCUUGCGCUAUCAGAUGAGCCUAGGUCGGAUUAGCUAGUUGGUGAGGUAAUGGCUCACCAAGGCGACGAUCCGUAACUGGUCUGAGAGGAUGAUCAGUCACACUGGAACUGAGACACGGUCCAGACUCCUACGGGAGGCAGCAGUGGGGAAUAUUGGACAAUGGGCGAAAGCCUGAUCCAGCCAUGCCGCGUGUGUGAAGAAGGUCUUCGGAUUGUAAAGCACUUUAAGUUGGGAGGAAGGGCAGUAAAUUAAUACUUUGCUGUUUUGACGUUACCGACAGAAUAAGCACCGGCUAACUCUGUGCCAGCAGCCGCGGUAAUACGGAGGG